rnacentral:rRNA from 1 species
CCUACGGGGGGCAGCAGUGGGGAAUAUUGCACAAUGGGCGCAAGCCUGAUGCAGCCAUGCCGCGUGUGUGAAGGAGGCCUUCGGGUUGUAAAGCACUUUCAGCGGGGAGGAAGGCGGUGAGGUUAAUAACCUCAUCGAUUGACGUUACCCGCAGAAGAAGCACCGGCUAACUCCGUGCCAGCAGCCGCGGUAAUACGGAGGGUGCAAGCGUUAAUCGGAAUUACUGGGCGUAAAGCGCACGCAGGCGGUCUGUCAAGUCGGAUGUGAAAUCCCCGGGCUCAACCUGGGAACUGCAUUCGAAACUGGCAGGCUAGAGUCUUAUAGAGGGGGGUAGAAUUCCAGGUGUAGCGGUGAAAUGCGUAGAGAUCUGGAGGAAUACCGGUGGCGAAGGCGGCCCCCUGGACAAAGACUGACGCUCAGGUGCGAAAGCGUGGGGAGCAAACAGGAUUAGAUACCCCGGUAGUC